CUCUCAGCCACUGCACGGCACAGCGGGGUCACCGGAUCGGCAGCAGCCAGGCAACUUAACAGCCGUCGUAAUCCAUUAGCGGCGAAUGUCUCGAGUCGCGGGAGGUAUUUCGUUUUUUUUUGCUCGGGAGCAUCUCGCUCAGGAUGAUAGGCCAGUCAGUCGCUUUUUUUUUGCGUAGGUUGUAACAGCUUGGCGUUACGCGGUGACGAAAUAGCGCACUGCGCUACGAACCCGGUGCCUCGAGUACGAUUCCCCGGCUCGCAUCAUUGGCGAGUGACAUUUGAAGCAGUCCUAUCCCUCCUCUCCAUCAACCUGCAUUGAUCAGCGAGAGACGUGAACUGUCCUACGCUGUAGCGAACACGUUGGACAAGGUCAGAGUACCCACACUUUACCCCGCCACGGGUAAUGUCGCCGAACAGAUUUGUUUCCGAGAAACAUAACUUAUUUAAUGCUGCAUUGGUCAUCGACAUCGGAUGAAGAAAAUUGGCCAAUAAGCUUCGACUGCCAUCACCAGAAAAUUAACCCGGUACUUUUCAAGUCAGCGAAUGCACGAGAGGUACGCGUGUUCAGGACGGAGGAGGGGAAGGUUACCGUGACAAGCACUGAAGUUACACCAAGAGGUCAGUGGCCAAAGAAAGGGCGAAAAGUCAGAUGGUGAGGAUACAACUGUGAGACCUCACCCUGGAGCACAAGUCAUUGGAAUAGCAACUGUGCGUGCAGAGGGGAGGGAAAUUAUACACGUGUGUAUGUAGAACUUAUUUCACACCGUACGUAGCGAACCGUGCUAUUCGGAGGUGCGAGGGGGGGGGAGAAACUAAACAAAAUCAGUUCAUUCCUGGCAUCAGGGCCCCAUGCAAAACCCACGGUGCCA